CAAUAGCGUAUAUUAAAGCUGUUGCGGUUAAAAAGCUCGUAGUUGGAUUUCUGUCAAGGACAACUGGUCCGCCCUCCGGGUGAGCACAUAGUUUGGUCUUGGCAUCUUGCUGGAAACUGUUGCUGCACUUGGCUGUGUGGCGCAGCGUCCAGCACUUUCACUUUGAGGAAAUUGGAGUGUUUCAAGCAGGCACAUGCCUUUGGACACAGUAGCAUGGAAUAAUUAGAUUGGGCUUUUGCUCCAAUUUGUCGGUUUCUGGAGCUGAGGUGAGAAUUAAUGGGGAUUGUUGGGGGCAUCCGAAUUGAGCCGUCAGAGGUGAAAUUCUUGGAUCUGCUAAAGACGGACAACUGCGAAAGCGUUUGCCCAGGAUGUUUUCAUUGA
rnacentral:rRNA from 1 species